GUUGCUUUGGUGCCAUGUAUGCUAAAACUGGAACAACAUAGAAAAGAUUAAUAUGACCCAUGCACAAGAAUGACAUGUGAAUUCCUGAAGUGUUUCACAUUUUA